AUUUCUGAGGGUUUGGGGAACCUGUGCAGGCUGAGCCUCUUAAGCUGGCAUCUCCCCAGCAAAGCUUCCACCUGCAGAUGGAGGUCUCCAAGUGUUUUGGGCCUUUAUGGGCUGGGCCAGCCUCACUACGUUUCCCCUUCAGGAAGCAGAGCAGCCAGAGUGAAACCCCUUUGCCAUCCUUCCAACCAUGGAAUUACAGGAGAACUGAGCUCCUGCCUCCCUCAGCUCCUUCCUUGUGUUUGCCUGGAAACCAUCUGGGCAGCAAAGCAACAAUUCCUUGGGAGACGAUCUCCGCUUUGGCCUCUUGACUCCCCGCUGAACCCAGCCUGACCCACGCUCCCUCUGCUGGUGAUUCUGUGAUUCUACCUGGUGCUGAAAGCUGACGUGACAGCAGGAGAAGGAUUCAUAUUGCAUCUAUUAUCUAUUAUCAACAAUGCUGUUACAUCACUUACUUCCCCAGUGCUACUGGAGACCAUCCGUUCAGUGCUGGAAUGGUUCUGAUGUCUGAGUUGACCCACAGCCCAGUGCCAAGGCAGAACAGGAAGGGGAGAAUAUUAUCAUUAAGGUCAGAAAGACCACUAAGAUCAUCAAGUCCAGCCACCAACCCAUGUCUGUGACUACUCAAGACAAUGUCACUCAGAGCCACAUUCACCCUUUUCUUGAACACCUCUACAGAUGACGACUCAUCACCUCUUUGGGCAGCCUGUUCCAAUGUAUUACCAUUCUGUC
ensembl:lncRNA